GACGAACGCUGGCGGCGCGCUUAACACAUGCAAGUCGAGCGAGAACCAAGCCUUCGGGCCUGGGGAAAGCGGGCGAACGGGUGAGUAACACGUGGGUAACCCACCUUGGUACCGGGAUAGCCCGAGGAAACUCGGAUUAAUACCGGAUGGCCCAACAGCUUUUCGGAGCGGUUGGAAAAGUAGCUUCGGCCUCCGACCAAGGACGGGCCC
rnacentral:rRNA from 1 species